rnacentral:rRNA from 1 species
GAUGAACGCUGGCGGCGUGCCUAAUACAUGCAAGUCGAGCGAACAGACGAGGAGCUUGCUCCUCUGACGUUAGCGGCGGACGGGUGAGUAACACGUGUAUAACCUACCUAUAAGACUGGGAUAACUUCGGGACACCGGAGCUAAUACCGGAUAAUAUCUUGAACCGCAUGGUUCAAUAGUGAAAUACGGUUUUUCUGUCACUUAUAGAUGGAUCCGCGCGGCAUUAGCUAGUUGGUAAGGUAACGGCUUAUGAAGGCUACGAUGCGUAGCCGACCUGAGAGGGUGGUAGGCCACACUGGAGCUGAGACGCGGACCAGACUCCUGCGGGACGCAGCAGUAGGGAAUGGGCCGCAGUAGGGGGGAGCAUGGCGGAGCGACGGCACGUGAGUGAUGAAGGUCUUGGGAGCGUAAUGCUCUCUUAUGAGGGGAGAACAAAUGUGUAAGUAGCUGUGCACGGAUUGACGGUACCUAGUCAGAAAGCAACGGCUAACUACGUG